UGGGUUUGGCUGAAAAAAUNGCAGAUGCGAGC
rnacentral:piRNA from 1 species